rnacentral:tRNA from 1 species
GGGGUUGUGGCUCAGAGGUAGAGCACUCACCUAACAUGGGAGACACUGGGUUCGAUCCUCAGCACCACA